GACGAACGCUGGCGGCGUGCUUAACACAUGCAAGUCGAACGGAAAGGCCCUGCUUGCAGGGUGCUCGAGUGGCGAACGGGUGAGUAACACGUGGGUGAUCUGCCCCUUACUUUGGGAUAAGCCUGGGAAACUGGGUCUAAUACUGGAUAGGACCAUGCUGUAGGUGGUGUGGUGGAAAGAUUUUUUCGGUAAGGGAUGAGCUCGCGGCCUAUCAGCUUGUUGGUGGGGUAAUGGCCUACCAAGGCGUCGACGGGGAGCCGGCCUGGGAGGGUGGACGGCCACAUUGGGACUGGGAUACGGCCCAGACUCCUACGGGAGGCAGCAGUGGGGAAUAUUGCACAAUGGGCGCAAGCCUGAUGCAGCGACGCCGCGUGGGGGAUGACGGCCUUCGGGUUGUAAACUCCUUGCAGCCAUGACGAAGCCUCUUUUGGGGUGACGGUAGUGGUAGAAGAAGCACCGGCUAACUACGUG
rnacentral:rRNA from 1 species